rnacentral:rRNA from 1 species
AUAACGACUCUCGGCAACGGAUAUCUCGGCUCUCGCAUCGAUGAAGAACGUAGCGAAAUGCGAUACUUGGUGUGAAUUGCAGAAUCCCGUGAACCAUCGAGUCUUUGAACGCAAGUUGCGCCCAAAGCCAUCAGGCUGCGGGCACGUCUGCCUGGGCGUCACGC